rnacentral:rRNA from 1 species
GAGGAAGAGAAAGAAAAAUCGAUUCCCUGAGUAGCGGCGAGCGAAACGGGAAGAGCCCAAACCAACAAGCUUGCUUGUUGGGGUUGUAGGACACUCUAUACGGAGUUACAAAAGAACAUGUUAGACGAAUCAUCUGGAAAGAUGAAUCAAAGAAGGUAAUAAUCCUGUAGUCGAAAACAUAUUCUCUCUUGAGUGGAUCCUGAGUACGACGGAGCACGUGAAAUUCCGUCGGAAUCUGGGAGGACCAUCUCCUAAGGCUAAAUACUCUCUAGUGACCGAUAGUGAACCAGUACCGUGAGGGAAAGGUGAAAAGUACCCCGGAAGGGGAGUGAAAGAGAACUUGAAACCGUGUGCUUACAAGUAGUCAGAGCCCGUUAAUGGGUGAUGGCGUGCCUUUUGUAGAAUGAACCGGCGAGUUACGAUUUGAUGCAAGGUUAAGCAGCAAAUG